GACGAGCGCUGGCGGCGUGCUUAACACAUGCAAGUCGAACGGAAAGGCCCGGCUUUUGUUGGGUGCUCGAGUGGCGAAAGGGUGAGUAACACGAGAGUAACCUGACCUUGACUUUGUGAUAACUUCAGGAAACUGGGGAUAAUACAGCAUAGGAGCUCCUGCUGCACGGUGUGGGUUGGAAAGUUUCGGCGGUUGUGGCUGUAAUCGCGGCUUAUCAGCUUGUUUGUCGGGUAGUGGCUUACAAAGGCUGUGACGGGUAGCCGGCCUGAGAGGCUGAACGGGGACAUUGGGACGGAGAUAAGGCGCAGAAGCAGACGGGAGGCAGCAGUGGGGAGUAUGACACUGUGGCAGGGAGGCUGAUGCGGCGACGCCGCGAUCGGGAUGACGGCCUUCGUGUGAUAAACCGCUUUCGACUUGGAUGAAGCGGGAGUGACGGUAAUGGGUAAAGAAGCACCGGCUAACUACGUG
rnacentral:rRNA from 1 species